UGACUCAUAGCUCAGUCGGUAAAGAAUCUGCCUGCAAUGUAGGAGACCUGGGUUCAAUUCCUGGGUCAG
rnacentral:tRNA from 1 species